UUACGGCCCUAUCAGGUUGAAACACCGGUUCUCGUCCGAAAAUCGAAGUUAAGCGAUGUUGAACCUGGUCAUUACCUAGAUGGGAGAUCGCUGGGAACA